AACGAACGCUGGCGGCAUGCCUAACACAUGCAAGUCGAACGAGACCUUCGGGUUUAGUGGCGCACGGGUGCGUAACGCGUGGGAACCUGCCCUUAGGUUCGGCAUAACUCCCCGAAAGGGGUGCUAAUACCGGAUAAUGUCUUCGGACCAAAGAUUUAUCGCCUUUGGAUGGGCCGGCGUGGGAUUAGCUAGUUGGUAGGGUAAAAGCCUACCAAGGCGACGAUCCAUAGCUGGUCUGAGAGGAAGGUCAGCCACACUGGGACUGGGACACGGCCCAGACUCCUACGGGAGGCAGCAGUGGGGAAUAUUGGACAAUGGGCGGAGUCCUGAUCCAGCAAUGCCGCGUGAGUGAUGAAGGCCUUAGGGUUGUAAAGCGCUUUUACCCGGGAUGAUAAUGACAGUACCGGGAGAAUAAGCACCGGCUAACUCCGUG
rnacentral:rRNA from 1 species